ACGGGUGAGUAACGCGUAUGCAACUUGCCUAUCAGAGGGGGAUAACCCGGCGAAAGUCGGACUAAUACCGCAUGAAGCAGGGGCCCCGCAUGGGGAUAUUUGCUAAAGAUUCAUCGCUGAUAGAUAGGCAUGCGUUCCAUUAGGCAGUUGGCGGGGUAACGGCCCACCAAACCGACGAUGGAUAGGGGUUCUGAGAGGAAGGUCCCCCACAUUGGUACUGAGACACGGACCAAACUCCUACGGGAGGCAGCAGUGAGGAAUAUUGGUCAAUGGGCGUAAGCCUGAACCAGCCAAGUCGCGUGAGGGAUGAAGGUUCUAUGGAUCGUAAACCUCUUUUAUAAGGGAAUAAAGUGCGGGACGUGUCCCGUUUUGUAUGUACCUUAUGAAUAAGGAUCGGCUAACUCCGUGCCAGCAGCCGCGGUAAUACGGAGGAUCCGAGCGUUAUCCGGAUUUAUUGGGUUUAAAGGGUGCGUAGGCGGCCUUUUAAGUCAGCGGUGAAAGUCUGUGGCUCAACCAUAGAAUUGCCGUUGAAACUGGGGGGCUUGAGUAUGUUUGAGGCAGGCGGAAUGCGUGGUGUAGCGGUGAAAUGCAUAGAUAUCACGCAGAACCCCGAUUGCGAAGGCAGCCUGCCAAGCCAUUACUGACGC
rnacentral:rRNA from 1 species